rnacentral:rRNA from 1 species
UAGGGAAUCUUCGGCAAUGGACGAAAGUCUGACCGAGCAACGCCGCGUGAGUGAAGAAGGUUUUCGGAUCGUAAAACUCUGUUGUUAGAGAAGAACAAGGACGUUAGUAACUGAACGUCCCCUGACGGUAUCUAACCAGAAAGCCACGGCUAACUACGUGCCAGCAGCCGCGGUAAUACGUAGGUGGCAAGCGUUGUCCGGAUUUAUUGGGCGUAAAGCGAGCGCAGGCGGUUUCUUAAGUCUGAUGUGAAAGCCCCCGGCUCAACCGGGGAGGGUCAUUGGAAACUGGGAGACUUGGGUGCAUAAGAGGAGAGUGGAAUUCCAUGUGUAGCGGUGAAAUGCGUAGAUAUAUGGAGGAACACCAGUGGCGAAGGCGGCUCUCUGGUCUGUAACUGACGCUGAGGCUCGAAAGCGUGGGGAGCAAACAGG